AGAGCCGACGUAUCUGGCUUGUAUUCAGCUUGGAUGCGGGGGAGACCGCUGGUUUGUAUCCAGCAAUGGUACAAGUUGUUGAGUUCUCUUUCGUUUCCGGGUGCAUUUGCGAGUGGAGUGCGCCGAGAGCCGUGGGUGCAGCGGUUCGAAGCCUGGAGGAGUGGAGAUACUUGUAUCAAACCUACUCCGGGCGGGUGACUGUUUGCCCUGUGGUCUAAUUGGGUAGGGCCAACGCGGUAUGGUUGUUGCCUGGUGGUUUCUCGUGGCGGUCGCAUGCGACACGUACUUGUUAGCCGCCUUGCAGUAAUCCCACCGCCCCUGCUCUUUCUCGGUGUAAAAGCCGGUCAUCUAUCCGACCCGUCUUGAAACACGGACCAAGGAGUUUAGCGUGUACGCGAGUCAUUGAGUGUUCAAACUCAUAGGCGCAAUGAAAGUAAAGGCCACUUGAUUGGCUGAUAUGCGACGGGGUGAAUUUCGAUUCACACCAGCAGCAUAGCCCCGUCCCGAUUGCUUGCAAUGGGGCGGAGGUAGAGCGUAUUCGCUGAGACCCGAAAGAUGGUGAACUAUUCCUGAGCAGGAUGAAGCCAGUGGAAACUCUGGUGGAAGUCCGAAGCGGUUCUGACGUGCAAAUCG
rnacentral:rRNA from 1 species